rnacentral:rRNA from 1 species
GCCAGUGAUUUAGUUGCGUGUGUCCCACCUCUUCCCAUUCCGAACAGAGAAGUGAAAUCACGCAGUCCCGAUGAUACUUUUUAUUUUUUUAAAGGGGAAAGUAGGGUUUGCUGGCU